rnacentral:rRNA from 1 species
GCGUGAGAAUCUACNUCNUGGUNGGGGACAACCACGGGAAACUGUGGNUAAUACNGGAUAUGCCGUAAGGUAAAAGAUUUAUNUGCCRGAAGAAGAGCUCGCGUCUGAUWAGCUAGUUGGUAGGGUAAAAGCCUACCAAGGCAUCGAUCAGUAGCUGGUYUGAGAGGAUGAUCAGCCACACUGGGAYUGAGACACGGCCCAGACUCYUACGGGAGGCAGCAGUGGGGAAUUUUCCGCAAUGGGCGAAASCCUGASGGAGCAAUACCGCGUGAGGGAGGANAGGCUCUUGGGUCGUAAACCUCUUUUGUCAGGGAAGAAGCUCNUGACGGUACCUGACGAAUCAGCAUCGGCUAACUCCGUGCCAGCAGCCGCGGUAAUACGGAGGAUGCAAGCGUUAUCCGGAAUUAUUGGGCGUAAAGCGUCCGCAGGUGGCAACUCAAGUCWGCUGUUAAAKACCGGGGCUUAACUCCGGAAAGGCAGUGGAAACUGANUCGCUAGAGUGCAGGAGGGGUAGAGGGAAUUCCCGGUGUAGCGGUGAAAUGCGUAGAUAUCGGGAAGAACAUCGGUGGCGAAAGCGCUCUACUGGACUGCAACUGACACUCA